CCUACGGGUGGCAGCAGUGAGGAAUAUUGGUCAAUGGACGAGAGUCUGAACCAGCCAAGUAGCGUGAAGGAUGACUGCCCUAUGGGUUGUAAACUUCUUUUAUAUGGGAAUAAAACGUUCCACGUGUGGGAUUUUGUAGGUACCGUAUGAUUAAGGAUAGGCUAACUCCGUGCUAGCAGCCGCGGUAAUACGGAGGAUCCGUGCGUUAUCCGGUUAUGUUGGGUUUAAAGGGAUCGGAGGUGGAUUGUUAAGUUAGUUGUGAAAAUUUGGGGGUUAACCGUAAGAUCGCAGUUGAUACUGGCAGUCUUGAGUAAAGUAGAGGUGGGCGGAAUUCGUGGUGUAGCGGUGAAAUGCUUAGAUAUAACGAAGAACUCCGAGGGCGAAGGCAGUUCACUGGAUUUCAACUGACACUGAGGCUCGAAAGUGUGGGUAGCAAACAGGAUUAGAUACCCUUGUAGUC
rnacentral:rRNA from 1 species